GACCUUACUUCCCCUUCAGUGGGAACCCUUUAACCAGGGUCAGCAGUCAUGUGUGUCACUGCUUCUGCCAACACACUGGCGUGGACAACUGUGAGCAGAUCAUGUCUUGUAAGAAAGGAAUCCAUAGCAGCCUUUGCUCCUUGGAGAAGCUGCUGCAGUGCUCUGACUGCUCUGAGGUAGAGAACUGGUGAGUCAAGGCAGGAUCUCGCGAGUAAGUGGCAUGUAUCCACACUGACACAGGUGAGACACGGUAUGGGUCCACCCCCAGGUCAGCCUUGAGAUGGCGGUCACCUUGAUAGACAUCUCAACUGCAGUGUUUCUCGUGGGAGACACUGACCAGACUCUCAACCCAUACCAUUGGUGAAAUACGUGGUGAAUACCUGGUGUCCUAUCCUUUCCAACUUGAGCCUAACAGAAUGACUCCUGAAAAGAAGGGUGGCAUGAAGGAGAAGAAAGAAAAGGAGAAGGAGAAGAAAGGAGAAGAGGAAGAAGAAAGAGGAGGAGGAGGUUUUGCCAUCAACAAGGUAGUGACCCAAGAAUAUACCAUCAACAUUCACAAGCACAUCCAUGGAGUGGGCUUUAAGAAGUGUGGCCCUCAGGAACUCAAAGAAAUAGAGAAAAUUGCCAUGAAGGAGAUGGGGAUUCCAUAUGUACACAUCAACACCAGGCUCAACAAAGCUGUGUGGCCCAAGGCCUUAUCUUUAAGGGUCAACUUGGAUAUACUCCACCUAUGAACCUCUACUCAUAUUGUUAUUUUCUUGUCUUGUUUGCAGUUCAAUAAAACACCCAGUAAUAACUGUG